UAUGGUCACAUCAUGUUGAAAUACUUGUUCCCGUAUGAUCACUGAAGUUAAGCAACAUUGAGUCUGGUCAGUACCUAGAUGGGUAACCCCUUUGGAAUACCAGGUGAUGUAAG